rnacentral:rRNA from 1 species
GGAGGCCACUGCUAUUGGAGUCCGCUUAAGCCAUGCGAGUCGAGGGCACCCUUCGGGGGGACCCGGCGCACUGCUCAGUAACACGUGGAUAAUCUACCCUAGGGUGGGGGAUAACCUCGGGAAACUGAGACUAAUCCCCCAUAGGCCUGAGAGGCUGGAAUGCGCUCAGGCCGAAAGCUCCGGCGCCCUAGGAUGAGUCCGCGGCCUAUCAGGUUGUAGUCAGGGUAAAGACCUGACUAGCCGACGACGGGUACGGGCCUUGAGAGAGGUCGCCCGGAGAUGGACUCUGAGACAUGAGUCCAGGCCCUACGGGGCGCAGCAGGCGCGAAAACUACGCAAUGCGCGCAAGCGCGACGUGGGGACUCCAAGUGCCGGCACAUUGUGUCGGCUGUUCACCUGUGUAAAAAGCAGGUGGAGUAAGGGCUGGGUAAGACCGGUGCCGGCCGCCGCGGUAAUACCGGCAGCCCGAGUGGUGGCCGCGUUUAUUGGGCCUAAAGGGUCCGUAGCCGGUCGGGUAAGUUCCUCGGGAAACCUCGCCGCUCAACGGUGAGGCUUCCGGGGAAUACUGCCCGACUUGGGACCGGGAUGGGCCGGAGGUACUCCCGGGGUAGGGGUGAAAUCCGUUGAUCCCGGGAGGACCACCCGUAGCGAAGGCGUCCGGCUGGAACGGGUCCGACGGUGAGGGACGAAGGCCAGGGGCGCGAACCGGAUUAGAUACCCGGGUAGUCCUGGCUGUAAACGAUGCGGGCUUUGCGUCGGCACUGCCACGAGUGGUGCCGGUGUUGAAGGGAAGCCGUUAAGCCCGCCGCCUGGGGAGUACGGGUGCAAGCCUGAAACUUAA